GAUGAACGCUGGCGGCGUGCCUAAUACAUGCAAGUCGAGCGAACGGACGAGAAGCUUGCUUCUCUGAUGUUAGCGGCGGACGGGUGAGUAACACGUGGAUAACCUACCUAUAAGACUGGGAUAACUUCGGGAAACCGGAGCUAAUACCGGAUGAUAUUUUUAACCGCAUGGUUCAAAAGUGAAAGACGGUCUUGCUGUCACUUAUAGAUGGAUCCGCGCUGCAUUAGCUAGUUGUUAAGGUAACGGCUUACCAAGGCAACGAUGCAUAGCCGACCUGAGAGGGUGAUCGGCCCCACUGGAACUGAGACACGGUCCAGACUCCUACGGGAGGCAGCAGUAGGGAAUCUUCCGCAAUGGGCGAAAGCCUGACGGAGCAACGCCGCGUGAGUGAUGAAGGUCUUCGGAUCGUAAAACUCUGUUAUUAGGGAAGACCAUAUGUGUAAGUAACUGUGCACAUCUUGACGGUACCUAAUCAGAAAGCCACGGCUAACUACGUG
rnacentral:rRNA from 1 species